rnacentral:rRNA from 1 species
GACGAACGCUGGCGGCGCGCUUAACACAUGCAAGUCGAGCGAUGAAUCUUUAACAGAACCCUUCGGGGCGAGGAUAAAGUGGAUUCGCGUCUGACGGGUGCGUAACACGUGAGUAACCUGCCUUAGACAUUGGGAUAGUCUCGGGUAACCUGGUUUAAUACCACAUAAAAUCAUAAUGACACAUGUCAUUACGAUCAAAACUCCGGUGGUCUAAGAUGGACUCGCGUCCCAUUCUCUAGUUGGUAGAGUAAAAGCCUACCACGGCGACGAUGGGUAGCCGGACUGAGAGGGGGAACGGCCACAAUAGAACUGAGAAACGGUCCAAACUCCUACGGGAGGCAGCAGGGGGGAAUAUUGCACAAUGGAGGGAACUCUGAGGCAGCGACGCCGCGUGAACGAAGAAGGCUUUCGAGAGGGAAAGUCCUUUUAUAUGGGAAGAUAAUGACGGUACCAUAAGAAAAAGCCCCGGCUAACUACGUG